rnacentral:rRNA from 1 species
UACAGAGGGUGCAAGCGUUAAUCGGAAUUACUGGGCGUAAAGCGAGCGUAGUCGGUUAUUUAAGUCGGGUGUGAAAGCCCCGGGCUCAACCUGGGAAUUGCAUUCGAUACUGGAUAGCUAGAGUUCGGCAGAGGGAAGCGGAAUUUCCGGUGUAGCGGUGAAAUGCGUAGAUAUCGGAAGGAACAUCAGUGGCGAAAGCGGCUUCCUGGACCAGAACUGACGAUCAGGCUCGAAAGCGUGGGGAGCGAACAGG